UAAUUGCGAUGGGGGGACGGAGCAGGCUAAACAAGCAUGGCGUUGGUAGUCCAUGUGAAAGUGAGUAGGUUGGCGACUUAGGUAAAUCCGGGUUGCUAUUAAGACUGAGACACGAGACGAGUCACUAAGGUGAUGAAGUUGUUGAUGCCAUACUUCCAGGAAAAGCCUCUAAGCUUCAGAUUAUAUGGAAUCGUACCCCAAACCGACACAGGUGGUCAGGUAGAGAAUACUAAGGCGCUUGAGAGAACUCGGG
rnacentral:rRNA from 1 species